CUCUUAGAUGUCCUGGGCCGCACGCGCGUUACACUGAUGCAUUCAACGAGCUUAUAACCUUGGCCGAGAGGCCUGGGCAAUCUUGUUAACGUGCAUCGUGAUAGGGAUAGAUUAUUGAAAUUAUUAAUCUUGAACGAGGAAUUCCUAGUAAACGCAGAUCAUCAAUCUGCAUUGAUUACGUCCCUGCCCUUUGUACACACCGCCCGUCGCACCUACCGAUUGGAUGGUCCGGUGAAGCCUCGGGAUUGUGGUUCUUGCCGCUUUAUUGUGGCGUGACCGCGAGAACUUGUCUAAACCUUAUCAUCUAGAGGAAGGUGAAGUCGUAACA
rnacentral:rRNA from 1 species